rnacentral:tRNA from 1 species
GCCUUCGUGGUGCAGUGGUUCUGCACACUGGCCAGUUAUUCCAGAGAUUCGCGGUUCGAUUCCGGGCGAAGGCG